AUUGAACGCUGGCGGCAUGCCUUACACAUGCAAGUCGAACGGUAACAGGUCUUCGGAUGCUGACGAGUGGCGAACGGGUGAGUAAUACAUCGGAACGUGCCUAGUAGUGGGGGAUAACUACUCGAAAGAGUGGCUAAUACCGCAUGAGAUCUACGGAUGAAAGCAGGGGAUCGCAAGACCUUGUGCUACUAGAGCGGCCGAUGGCCGAUUAGGUAGUUGGUGGGAUAAAAGCUUACCAAGCCGACGAUCUGUAGCUGGUCUGAGAGGAGGAUCAGCCACACCGGGACUGAGACACGGCCCAGACUCCUACGGGAGGCAGCAGUGGGGAAUUUUGGACAAUGGGCGCAAGCCUGAUACAGCAAUGCCGCGUGCAGGAUGAAGGCCUUCGGGUUGUAAACUGCUUUUGUACGGAACGAAAAGCCCCGGGUUAAUACCCUGGGGUCAUGACGGUACCGUAAGAAUAAGCACCGGCUAACUACGUGCCAGCAGCCGCCGUAA
rnacentral:rRNA from 1 species